UACGAAGGGGGCUAGCGUUGCUCGGAAUCACUGGGCGUAAAGCGCGUGUAGGCUGACUUGUAAGUCGGGCGUGAAAGCCCUGGGCUCAACCCAGGAACUGCACUCGAAACUCGCGGUCUAGAGUGGUGGAGAGGGAAGUGGAAUUCCUGGUGUAGAGGUGAAAUUCGUAGAUAUCAGGAGGAACACCAGUGGCGAAGGCGGCUUCCUGGACAGCAACUGACGCUGAGACGCGAAAGCGUGGGGAGCAAACAGG
rnacentral:rRNA from 1 species